ensembl:lncRNA
CAUGGCUCCCUGGCAAAACAGCAGUCGUCAUCGAUGGAGGUUUUGAGCCCUCAUGAAGACAAGUUCACUGCAGCCAAAGCGGCUCGUCAAUUGAUUCACCGUAAUGGUACAAUUUUUGGACUCAGCCUCCAAACUAAAUAAGCGAAUGAAACACCUACUUAGAAUGAAACUAUGCACACAUGAGGGGGUCAUCACUGGAAAACAGCAAUAAGGAGCACCAGGCUUCGGACACGGGAAAGGCUUUCCCCCGUUGGUAUUCGCAAACCUGUCCCUGACGAAAGGGGAUACAUUUUUAGGACUCAGCCGUCCGGCCAGAUUCAGCGAAUGAAAUACCUACUUGGAAUGAAGCUACGCACACAAGAGGGUCAUCACUGGAAAACAGCAAUAAGCAUCACGACGCUACGGACACGGGAAAGGCUUUCCCCCAUUCCCACAUGGGUAUUCGCAAACCUGUCCCUGACGAAAGACCGACUGGCGGUUUGAACCUAAACACUUUAAGAUAGUGUAAGUGAUACAGAGGAAAACAUCUGCGAUGGCCGGAAUCGAACCCGGGUCAACUGCUUGGAAGGCAGCUAUGCUCACCACUAUACCACCAUCGCUUGCUUAUGUUCAAACAUUGGAAGGGAAAAAAGAGACCUAUCUAAAGAACAGACCAAUUUGGAAUUGCGCAGGGAGACCCCCAAUGGAUUCUAGUCUAUCGCCCUGACCACUCGCCCACGACAACCUUCGAGUUCAGGUUCAGGUUCAUGGCUCCCUGGCAAAACAGCAGUCGUCAUCGAUGGAGGUUUUGAGCCCUCAUGAAGACAAGUUCACUGCAGCCAAAGCGGCUCGUCAAUUGAUUCCCGUAAUGGUACAAUUUUUGGACUCAGCCUCCAAACUAAAUAACCGAAUGAAACACCUACUUAGAAUGAAACUAUGCACACAUGAGGGGGUCAUCACUGGAAAACAGCAAUAAGGAGCACCAGGCUUCGGACACGGGAAAGGCUUUCCCCCGUUGGUAUUCGCAAACCUGUCCCUGACGAAAGGGGAUACAUUUUUAGGACUCAGCCGUCCGGCCAGAUUCAGCGAAUGAAAUACCUACUUGGAAUGAAGCUACGCACACAAGAGGGUCAUCACUGGAAAACAGCAAUAAGCAUCACGACGCUACGGACACGGGAAAGGCUUUUCCCCAUUGGUAUUCGCAAACCUGUCCCUGACGAAAGACCGACUGGCGGUUUGAACCUAAACACUUUAAGAUAGUGUAAGUGAUACAAAGGAAAACACCUGCGAUGGCCGGGAAUCGAACCCGGGUCAACUGCUUGGAAGGCAGCUAUGCUCACCACUAUACCACCAUCGCUUGCUUAUAUUCCAACAUUGGAAGGGAAAAAAGAGACCUAUCUAAAGAACAGACCAAUUUGGAAUUGCGCAGGGAGACCCCCAAUGGAUUCUAGUCUAUCGCCCUGACCACUCGCCCACGACAACCUUCGAGUUCAGGUUCAUGGCUCCCUGGCAAAACAGCAGUCGUCAUCGAUGGAGGUUUUGAGCCCUCAUGAAGACAAGUUCGCUGCAGCCAAAGCGGCUCGUCAAUUGAUUCAGCGGUAAUGGUACAUUUUUUGGACUAAGCCUCCAGCCUAAAUAAGCGAAUGAAAUACCUACUUGGAAUGAAACUAUGCACACAAGGGGGUCAUCACUGGAAAACGGCAAUAAGGAUCACCAGGCUUCGGACACGGGAAAGGCUUUCCCCCAUUGGUAUUCGCAAACCUGUCCCUGACGAAAGACCGACUGGCGGUGUGAACCUAAACACUUUAAGAUAGUGUAAGUGAUACAGAGG